UAGGGAAUCUCCCACAAUGGACGCAAGUCUGAUGGAGCAACGCCGCGUGAGUGAAGAAGGUCUUCGGAUCGUAAAACUCUGUUGUUAGAGAAGAACACGAGUGAGAGUAACUGUUCAUUCGAUGACGGUAUCUAACCAGCAAGUCACGGCUAACUACGUGC
rnacentral:rRNA from 1 species